rnacentral:rRNA from 1 species
GACGAACGCUGGCGGCGUGCUUAACACAUGCAAGUCGAACGGAAAGGCCCUGCUUUUGUGGGGUGCUCGAGUGGCGAACGGGUGAGUAACACGUGAGUAACCUGCCCUUGACUUUGGGAUAACUUCAGGAAACUGGGGCUAAUACCGGAUAGGAGCUCCUGCUGCAUGGUGGGGGUUGGAAAGUUUCGGCGGUUGGGGAUGGACUCGCGGCUUAUCAGCUUGUUGGUGGGGUAGUGGCUUACCAAGGCUUUGACGGGUAGCCGGCCUGAGAGGGUGACCGGCCACAUUGGGACUGGGAUACGGCCCGGACUCCUACGGGAGGCAGAGGUGGGGAAUAUUGCACAAUGGGCGGAAGCCUGAUGCAGCAACGCCGCGUGCGGGAUGACGGCCUUCGGGUUGUAAACCGCUUUCGCCUGUGACGAAGCGUUAGUGACGGUAAUGGGUAAAGAAGCACCGGCUAACUACGUG